rnacentral:rRNA from 1 species
AACGCUAGCUACAGGCUUAACACAUGCAAGUCGAGGGGCAUCAGGAAGAAAGCUUGCUUUCUUUGCCGGCGACCGGCGCACGGGUGAGUAACACGUAUCCAACCUGCCCUUUACUCGGGGAUAGCCUUUCGAAAGAAAGAUUAAUACCCGAUAGCAUAAUGAUUCCGCAUGGUUUCAUUAUUAAAGGAUUCCGGUAAAGGAUGGGGAUGCGUUCCAUUAGGUUGUUGGUGAGGUAACGGCUCACCAAGCCUUCGAUGGAUAGGGGUUCUGAGAGGAAGGUCCCCCACAUUGGAACUGAGACACGGUCCAAACUCCUACGGGAGGCAGCAGUGAGGAAUAUUGGUCAAUGGGCGCUAGCCUGAACCAGCCAAGUAGCGUGAAGGAUGAAGGCUCUAUGGGUCGUAAACUUCUUUUAUAUAAGAAUAAAGUGCAGUAUGUAUACUGUUUUGUAUGUAUUAUAUGAAUAAGGAUCGGCUAACUCCGUGCCAGCAGCCGCGGUAAUACGGAGGAUCCGAGCGUUAUCCGGAUUUAUUGGGUUUAAAGGGAGCGUAGGUGGACUGGUAAGUCGGUUGUGAAAGUUUGCGGCUCAACCGUAAAAUUGCAGUUGAUACUGUCAGUCUUGAGUACAGUAGAGGUGGGCGGAAUUCGUGGUGUAGCGGUGAAAUGCUUAGAUAUCACGAAGAACUCCGAUUGCGAAGGCAGCUCACUGGACUGCAACUGACACUGAUGCUCGAAAGUGUGGGUAUCAAACAGGAUUAGAUACCCUGGUAGUCCACACAGUAAACGAUGAAUACUCGCUGUUUGCGAUAUACAGUAAGCGGCCAAGCGAAAGCAUUAAGUAUUCCACCUGGGGAGUACGCCGGCAACGGUGAAACUCAAAGGAAUUGACGGGGGGCCGCACAAGCGGAGGAACAUGUGUUUUAAUUGGAUGAUACGCGAAGGACCCUUACCCGGGCUUAAAUUGCAGUGGAAUGAUGAGGAAACAUGUCAGUGAGCAAUCACCGCUGUGAAGGUGCUGCAUGGUGGUCGUCAGCUCGUGCCGUGAGGUGUCGGCUUAAGUGCCAUAACGAGCGCAACCGUUAUUUUCAGUUACUAACAGGUCAUGCUGAGGACUCUGGAGAGACUGCCGUCGUAAGAUGUGAGGAAGGUGGGGAUGACGUCAAAUCAGCACGGCCCUUACGUCCGGGGCUACACACGUGUUACAAUGGGGGGUACAGAAGGCAGCUAGCGGGUGACCGUAUGCUAAUCCCAAAAUCCUCUCUCAGUUCGGAUCGAAGUCUGCAACCCGACUUCGUGAAGCUGGAUUCGCUAGUAAUCGCGCAUCAGCCACGGCGCGGUGAAUACGUUCCCGGGCCUUGUACACACCGCCCGUCAAGCCAUGGGAGCCGGGGGUACCUGAAGUACGUAACCGCAAGGAUCGUCCUAGGGUAAAACUGGUGACUGG